UACGGAGGGUGCGAGCGUUGUUCGGAAUUACUGGGCGUAAAGGGCGCGUAGGCGGCACGAUCAGUGAGAAGUGAAAGCCCUCGGCUUAACCGGGGAGGUGCUUCUCAUACUGUCGAGCUUGAGGAAGGGAGAGGGAAGUGGAAUUCCAGGUGUAGCGGUGAAAUGCGUAGAGAUCUGGAGGAACACCGGUGGCGAAGGCGACUUCCUGGACCUUGCCUGACGCUGAGGCGCGAAAGCGUGGGGAGCAAACAGG
rnacentral:rRNA from 1 species